rnacentral:rRNA from 1 species
AGAGUUUGAUCAUGGCUCAGAUUGAACGCUGGCGGCAGGCCUAACACAUGCAAGUCGAACGGUAACAGGAAGCAGCUUGCUGCUUCGCUGACGAGUGGCGGACGGGUGAGUAAUGUCUGGGAAACUGCCUGAUGGAGGGGGAUAACUACUGGAAACGGUAGCUAAUACCGCAUAACGUCGCAAGACCAAAGAGGGGGACCUUCGGGCCUCUUGCCAUCGGAUGUGCCCAGAUGGGAUUAGCUAGUAGGUGGGGUAACGGCUCACCUAGGCGACGAUCCCUAGCUGGUCUGAGAGGAUGACCAGCCACACUGGAACUGAGACACGGUCCAGACUCCUACGGGAGGCAGCAGUGGGGAAUAUUGCACAAUGGGCGCAAGCCUGAUGCAGCCAUGCCGCGUGUAUGAAGAAGGCCUUCGGGUUGUAAAGUACUUUCAGCGGGGAGGAAGGCGAUAAGGUUAAUAACCUUGUCGAUUGACGUUACCCGCAGAAGAAGCACCGGCUAACUCCGUGCCAGCAGCCGCGGUAAUACGGAGGGUGCAAGCGUUAAUCGGAAUUACUGGGCGUAAAGCGCACGCAGGCGGUCUGUCAAGUCGGAUGUGAAAUCCCCGGGCUCAACCUGGGAACUGCAUUCGAAACUGGCAGGCUAGAGUCUUGUAGAGGGGGGUAGAAUUCCAGGUGUAGCGGUGAAAUGCGUAGAGAUCUGGAGGAAUACCGGUGGCGAAGGCGGCCCCCUGGACAAAGACUGACGCUCAGGUGCGAAAGCGUGGGGAGCAAACAGGAUUAGAUACCCUGGUAGUCCACGCCGUAAACGAUGUCGACUUGGAGGUUGUGCCCUUGAGGCGUGGCUUCCGGAGCUAACGCGUUAAGUCGACCGCCUGGGGAGUACGGCCGCAAGGUUAAAACUCAAAUGAAUUGACGGGGGCCCGCACAAGCGGUGGAGCAUGUGGUUUAAUUCGAUGCAACGCGAAGAACCUUACCUGGUCUUGACAUCCACAGAACUUUCCAGAGAUGGAUUGGUGCCUUCGGGAACUGUGAGACAGGUGCUGCAUGGCUGUCGUCAGCUCGUGUUGUGAAAUGUUGGGUUAAGUCCCGCAACGAGCGCAACCCUUAUCCUUUGUUGCCAGCGGUUAGGCCGGGAACUCAAAGGAGACUGCCAGUGAUAAACUGGAGGAAGGUGGGGAUGACGUCAAGUCAUCAUGGCCCUUACGACCAGGGCUACACACGUGCUACAAUGGCGUAUACAAAGAGAAGCGACCUCGCGAGAGCAAGCGGACCUCAUAAAGUAUGUCGUAGUCCGGAUUGGAGUCUGCAACUCGACUCCAUGAAGUCGGAAUCGCUAGUAAUCGUAGAUCAGAAUGCUACGGUGAAUACGUUCCCGGGCCUUGUACACACCGCCCGUCACACCAUGGGAGUGGGUUGCAAAAGAAGUAGGUAGCUUAACCUUCGGGAGGGCGCUUACCACUUUGUGAUUCAUGACUGGGGUGAAGUCGUAACAAGGUAACCGUAGGGGAACCUGCGGUUG